AUUGAACGUUGGCGGCAGGCCUAACACAUGCAAGUCGAACGAGUGGCGGACGGGUGAGUAAUGUCUGGGAAACUGCCCGAUGGAGGGGGAUAACUACUGGAAACGGUAGCUAAUACCGCAUACCAUCGGAUGUGCCCCGAUGGGAUUAGCUAGUAGGUGGGGGAACGGCUCACCUAGGCGACGAUCCCUAGCUGUUCUUAGAGGAUGACCAGCCAACCUGGAAGUGAGACACGGUCCAGACUCCUACGGGAGGCAGCAGUGGGGAAUAUUGCACAAUGGGCGCAAGCCUGAGACAGCCAUGCCGAGUGUAUGAAGAAGGCCUUCGGGUUGUAAAGUACUGUCAGCGAGGAGGAGUUACUCACAUAAGAAGCACCGGCUAACUCCGUGCCAGCAGCCGCGGUAAUAC
rnacentral:rRNA from 1 species